rnacentral:rRNA from 1 species
UACAUGGGGUGCAAACGUUGCUCGGAAUUAUUGGGCGUAAAGCGCACGUAGGCGGUUUGUUAAGUCGGAUGUGAAAUCCCUCGGCUCAACUGAGGAAGUGCAUCCGAAACUGGCAGGCUUGAGUACUAAAGAGGGUCGCGGAAUUCCCGGUGUAGAGGUGAAAUUCGUAGAUAUCGGGAGGAACACCGGUGGCGAAGGCGGCCUUCUGGACAGUGACUGACGCUGAGACGCGAAAGCGUGGGGAGCAAACAGG